rnacentral:rRNA from 1 species
CGUACGUAGGCGGAUUAUNNGUUAGAGGUGAAUCCCAGGGCUCAACCCUGGAACUGCCUUUAAAACUGUUAGUCUUGAGAUCGAGAGAGGUGAGUGGAAUUCCAAGUGUAGAGGUGAAAUUCGUAGAUAUUUGGAGGAACACCAGUGGCGAAGGCGGCUCACUGGCUCGAUACUG